rnacentral:rRNA from 1 species
GACGAACGCUGGCGGCGUGCUUAACACAUGCAAGUCGAACGGAAAGGCCCUGCUUUUGUUGGUUGCUCGAUUGGCGAACGGGUGAGUAACACGUGAGUAACCUGCCCUUGACUUUGUGAUAACUUCAGGAAACUGGGGCUAAUACCGGAUAGGAGCUCCUGCUGCAUGGUGGGGGUUGGAAAGUUUCGGCGGUUGGGGAUGGACUCGCGGCUUAUCAGCUUGUUGGUGGGGUAGUGGCUUACCAAGGCUUUGACGGGUAGCCGGCCUGAGAGGGUGACCGGCCACAUUGGGACUGAGAUACGGACCAGACUCCUACGGGAGGCAGCAGUGGGGAAUAUUGCACAAUGGGCGGAAGCCUGAUGCAGCAACGCCGCGUGCGGGAUGACGGCCUUCGGGUUGUAAACCGAUUUCGCAUGUGACGAAGCGUGAGUGACGGUAAUGGGUAAAGAAGCACCGGCUAACUACGUG